rnacentral:rRNA from 1 species
GAUCUGGCUCAGGAUGAACGCUGGCGGCGUGCCUAAUACAUGCAAGUCGAGCGAACAGACGAGGAGCUUGCUCCUCUGACGUUAGCGGCGGACGGGUGAGUAACACGUGGAUAACCUACCUAUAAGACUGGGAUAACUUCGGGAAACCGGAGCUAAUACCGGAUAAUAUAUUGAACCGCAUGGUUCAAUAGUGAAAGACGGUUUUGCUGUCACUUAUAGAUGGAUCCGCGCCGCAUUAG